GAUGAACGCUAGCGGGAGGCCUAACACAUGCAAGCCGAGCGGUAGAGUUUCUUCGGAAACUUGAGAGCGGCGCACGGGUGCGUAACACGUGUGCAACCUACCUUUAUCUGGGGGAUAGCCUUUCGAAAGGAAGAUUAAUACCCCAUAAUAUAAUGAUUGGCAUCAACUAUUAUUGAAAACUCCGGUGGAUAGAGAUGGGCACGCGCAAGAUUAGAUAGUUGGUGAGGUAACGGCUCACCAAGUCAAUGAUCUUUAGGGGUCCUGAGAGGGAGAUCCCCCACACUGGUACUGAGACACGGACCAGACUCCUACGGGAGGCAGCAGUGAGGAAUAUUGGACAAUGGGUGAGAGCCUGAUCCAGCCAUCCCGCGUGAAGGAUGACGGUCCUAUGGAUUGUAAACUUCUUUUGUACAGGGAUAAACCUACCCUCGGGAGGGUAGCUGAAGGUACUGUACGAAUAAGCACCGGCUAACUCCGUG
rnacentral:rRNA from 1 species